rnacentral:rRNA from 1 species
UGAAUACGAGACGCUAAGGCGUCGAAGUAGUGUAUGUCAUACUUCCAAGAAAAGCUUGCACUGUCAUAGAUAAAAAACGCCUGUACCAUAACCGACACAGGUGGGUAGGUAGAGUAUACUAAGGUGCGCGAGAUAACUCUCUCUAAGGAACUCGGCAAAAUAACUCCGUAACUUCGGGAGAAGGAGUGCCUUAUUAUUAAGGCUGCAAUAACAAGAUCCAAGCAACUGUUUAUCAAAAACACAGGUCUCCGCUAAGUCGUAAGACGAUGUAUGGGGGCUGACGCCUGCCCAGUGCCAGAAGGUUAAAGAAGUUGGUUAGCAUUUGCGAAGCUGAUAACUGAAGCCCUGGUGAACGGCGGCCGUAACAAUAACGGUCCUAAGGUAGCGAAAUUCCUUGUCGGGUAAGUUCCGACCCGCACGAAAGGCGUAAUGAUUUGGAUACUGUCUCGGAGAGGGGCUCGGUGAAAUAGACUUGUCUGUGAAGAUGCGGACUACCUGCACCAGGACAGAAAGACCCUAUGAAGCUUUACUGUAACUUGAAAUUGAAAUUGGACUUUAUUCGCGCAGCAUAGGUGGGAGGCGUUGAUUAUAAUCUUGUGGGAUUAUUGGAGCCAUCAGUGAGAUACCACUCUUGUAAUGUUAGAUUUCUAACUUUGAAUCAUUAUCUGGUCAAAGAACAGUUUCAGGCGGGCAGUUUGACUGGGGCGGUCGCCUCCUAAACGGUAACGGAGGCGUACAAAGGUUUCCUCUGAACGGUUAGAAAUCGUAUCUAGAGUGUAAAGGCAUAAGGAAGCUUGACUGUGAGACCUACAAGUCGAGCAGGGACGAAAGUCGGUCUUAGUGAUCUGACGGUACUGAGUGGAAAGGCCGUCACUCAACGGAUAAAAGUUACUCUAGGAUAACAGGCUGAUCUCCCCCAAGAGUUCACAUCGACGGGGAGGUUUGGCACCUCGAUGUCGGCUCAUCGCAUCCUGGGGCGGUAGUACGUCCCAAGGGUUGGGCUGUUCGCCCAUGAAAGCGGUACGCGAGCUGGGUUCAGAACGCCGUGAGACAGUUCGGUCCAUAUCCGGUGUAGGCGUUAGAAUAUUGAGAGGAGCCUUCUUUAGUACGAGAGGACCGAGAAGGACAUACCUCUGGUGUACCAGUUAUCGUGCCAACGGUAAACGCUGGGUAGCUAUGUAUGGAGUGGAUAACCGCUGAAAGCAUCUAAGUGGGAAGCCCACCUCAAGAUAAGUAUUCUCAUCAU